GAAGCAACGCGAAGAACCUUACCAGGUCUUGACAUCCCGUUGACCACUGUAGAGAUAUAGUUUCCCCUUCGGGGGCAACGGUGACAGGUGGUGCAUGGUUGUCGUCAGCUCGUGUCGUGAGAUGUUGGGUUAAGUCCCGCAACGAGCGCAACCCUUGAUCUUAGUUGCCAUCAUUUAGUUGGGCACUCUAAGGUGACUGCCGGUGACAAACCGGAGGAAGGUGGGGAUGACGUCAAAUCAUCAUGCCCCUUAUGACCUGGGCUACACACGUGCUACAAUGGACGAUACAAACGGUUGCCAACUCGCGAGAGGGAGCUAAUCCGAUAAAGUCGUUCUCAGUUCGGAUUGUAGGCUGCAACUCGCCUACAUGAAGCCGGAAUCGCUAGUAAUCGCGGAUCAGCAUGCCGCGGUGAAUACGUUCCCGGGCCUUGUACACACCGCCCGUCACACCACGAGAGUUUGUAACACCCGAAGUCGGUGAGGUAACCUUUUGGAGCCAGCCG
rnacentral:rRNA from 1 species